UCGCAACCAUGAACGAAGCAAUCAUGGAAGACCAUUCUGAGCAGUCCGGGGGCAACAGUGGAAUCGGAGUUAACAUGUUUCUUAACGGUGGCUUGAACGAUGGAUUCCGCUCUGGGACAAGAGGUGGAAUAGAAGCCGACCCUAGUCUGAGCUAGAGCUAAGGGUGUGGCGACUAGAAGAACAAAUAGAAUAGAGAGUUUGCUAAGGAAAGAAUCCAUUUGAGUUUGUUAUGUGUUGUUAUAAAUUGAUUGUGUGUUUAGAGGAAACGAAGGUGGUGUAUUUAUAGGGACAUAAAAGUGCUAAAAUGGGCUAAACGUGUGGAGACCAGAGAGAACCAGGGUCAAUGAAAAAUACGUGGCAACGGAUUGGAAAAGUUGUCCACUGGUGAGUUGUAGUCCACUCUCGGGCUGCCCAAGUUGUUUGAUUCGUUGAUUGAUAGAAGAGUCAAAUGAAUGUUCAUACAUGCGGUUGCAUAGUUUAAGUUCAAUUUAUGUCAGAUUUUCUCAGACACGUACUCAGUGGAUUAAUAUUUUGGCAUUUACCUCAUAUAUACAUAAAAGUUUGCUCAGAAACUAAUUCCUUCUUGUAAAUUAUAGAGUAAUAAUUAUUGAUUAGAUAUUCAAAAUUCCAACAAUUAUGGACUUACUCGAAAUUCAUUUUACGGUCUUAAAUCAUCGUACAUGCAGUAUUCUAAAAAUCCCCGAUUUAACCGAUAAAUCCCCUGCAAGGUCGGCCACCGAUUCGAUUUUUUAAAUCCGAUUAAUCCUUAUAUAUAUUCCUUAAUCGAAGUAUAUAUGAUAAAUUAUUAAAAUUAAAAUACUAUAUUACUUUAAGUAUGGUUUAUUAUAGAGUUUAUGAAUAUGGUAAAGAUAUUAGUUACUAAAUAGCUAAUAUAAUAAUAACUAAAUAUUAAAUAAUAUUUUAAUAUAAAAACAAAACCGAUUUUCACUCCGAUUAAUCCUUGCGAUUAAUCUCCGAUUUCCGAUUAAUCCCUGAAUCGGUAGCUCAACCGAUUAAGUCCGAUUCUCGAUUUCUGUAACACUGCAUACAUGUAUAAAUAAUAUCUCUAUCAUUUUUUUUUUAAUUUAUACUCAUUUUAUUCUAUUACAUCCACUCCAACUAAACACAACAUAAUUGUGUGUUUGUGUGUAAGCCUAAUAUUACAACUCUUGAAACAUAAUUUGAAAUUAGUUUUACAAAACUAUAUUUGAAAUGUUGUAAAUCAUUGUGCUUGCGGAAAAUGGUGAAGUGGGAACCGGAAAAGAAGCUUAAAUAAGUGUGAAACGCAUACGCAGGCGAAUACCUUGAUGUUACGUUCUAUCAAGGAAACUAAAGUAAUGGCGAAGCUGUUGCAAACUUAAUUUUGUGUGGAGUAUUAGUACUCCAAAUGGAUAGCGUAAACAUGUUUUCUAUUACAAAGUUGUUAGGGUGUCAAAUACUCCGCUAACACUGACAUGCAUGCAUUCCAUGAUUAAAAAACUAAAAAUUACUAAAAGAGAAGGUGGAAACUAUUGACUCGGGGUUCAGCAAAAGUUUUCAAAAGAGUCAAAGCAAUGCGUGUGGGGUCGCGAAUAACUUACUCUGCAUUAUCAUGAAACUUCCUGCACUAGUAUUUAACUAUUCUUUGUCAAGCCUUCUACUUUACUCCCUCAAUUUGUUUUAUUUAACAUUUUAAUUUUUCACACGUAUUUUCUGGUGAAGUGAUCUGAUAAUAUAAUUAUUUUUAUUAUAUUUUUGCCAAUUAUGAUAUUGAUUAUAUAUUUUUAUUCUGAAAAUUAAAAUUUUGAAUUAUUUUUAGUUAUCUAGUCAGAAUAUUUAAAAAUAUGUAUUAGAAACCAAACGUCGAAUAAAAUAAUAAGAUCGAGCUAUAUGUCUAUCAGGGAGGCAAAAACCGCAUGCUGUAUAUGACUGUUCUCAAAAUCUACGUGCCGUGAUAAUCAAAUAGCGGUUUCGUAAAAGAGUGUGAGAAUAAAUUAAAGAGUUUAAGAAGUAAUUAUUCCAGUUAGUUUUCGAUACCUCUUGUGCAAAAAUACAAAUUUUUGCAUAAAACACAGAACUCCUCAUAUUUAAUUUAGAUGGAAUUAAAACACAAAAUAUAUUGUCUUUAAAUGAUUCUACUGAAUAUAUUUUUAAUCAUCGACAGAUUUUGGGAGGACAAAUUUCAAUCUGAACCCUGCAUCAUUCUUUUGAUCACAAAAGAUAUUAAUCAAAAACUUGUCUUCGUCUUCUCUGUUCAUAAGUCAGCUUUUACGCAACAGCUAUUUCAUUAAAGUUUUCUAAAGAUUAUUCAUGUUCGAUAGAAAAUUAUUGUCAGACAUUUUAAUUCACAAAUUAUAUUUCAAAAAUAUUACUAUUUCAUUUGAAAAUUUUAAAAUGUUAUAUAUAUAUUUCACCUUAAAUAUUUUAUUUGCUGAGUUUUGCAGGACAUCUUAUUCACGAUUACAUAUUUUUCUACUCCAUCACAUGGUUUUUUUGCUUACUUUUUAGUUAAACCAGUCAUUGUGUCCGACAGCAAAACCAACACGGACUAUAGGUAUCGAGGACGAUUUCUCUCUGAUGCUAUAGGUAUAUUAUUUGUGUGUAUGGUAGAAUGUAUAUCUAUUAUUUUUUUUUGUCACUUUAUAUGGCAAUUUUUCUUAGCUGUGAUAAUAGAUGAAAACAUGAGCUGAGUUGCUUUUGAGUUUUGACAUAUAAUGUUCAUGGAGAGUUUCAUGUUAAAUGCCUAAAAAAUGUUUACGGAGUAAGGCUGACAGACUAUAUGCACGUAGUAUGAAAAAGUAAGGGGCGACGGGCGUCAUCAGCUCACCUUCACUACAAUAAAAUCGGGUACUUACGACAGAAAUUCGUAUCUAAAAAACAGCGCCGUCCUUGGAUCCGGCACUUCUCCCUUAUUUUUCAUUUGAAAAAAUAUUUAUAAAAAACUUAUGACAUCGUACUCUAGUAUUAUAAUUAUUUGAUUUUUUCAAUUGAAAAAAUAUUAAAAUAUAUAAAAAGCUUACAACGGAUUCGUUUUUCGUCGUAACAAUUUAAGACGGAACUCUACUAAUCCAUAGUAACUUUAUACGCGUGGUCCCUCAUAAGUUAUCUGUUACUAUAACUUAUAAAUGACUUUAUUUGUUGUAGCGCUUGUCGUAUACCCCGGCCUGGUAUAAUUGGCCCCAUCUCCUUCAUUCUAUGCACCACCGUAUAUUUGACUGAACAGACACAUUGCAUCACCAGAUGCCCCACCAUUCAUGAAAUCCCAGUUUUAGUAGAAUAGCACUCAAAUAAGUGAAUAACUCCACUCAAUCUUGUCAUAGCCUUAGCCAUGUCCAACUUAAACGCCAUAAACCCCUCCUUUCCUGUUCUCUUUAGUUUGUGAUAGUGCAUGACUUCAUAACUUAUAAUUAGAAUAUCUAUCUAGGGUUAAAUUUGUAGUGAUAAAUUAAAAUUAAUUUUUUAAUUAAACCGAUCGAUCACAAAAUUAUAAUGUCUUUUCAUUAUAUUUUAUUUUAUAUCAAUUUUUCAGUAUUUGAAUAUCAAAUUCUUAAAAUCAAAAUUAUUUUAAUUUGUAUAUAUCGAUAUAUACAGAAAUCAAUGAUUACUGGGUUAGUCAUUGAUAUUAUAAGAUUAAAAAAAAAUAUCGUAUACUAUUGGGUUUAUUUCCAUCGCCAUUUUUAGGGCAAAGCGAUUGGAGUGUAGGAAGGAACGAGGGAUCGAUGGUAGGAUCAGCACCCCCGGAGUUUGUGAAGUUGUAUAAUCUGUAGCUCACGAAUUGGCAAGCCACUGUUCCAAUAGUGUGUCCUCCUGCAACACAUUUUUGUACUAUAUGGNUCCCUCGCUUACCUUUAAAUAUUUAUAGUGAUCAGAAUAAAAUCGCUCGAUCAAUAUAAAAUAGUUAUCCCUGUCUCAUCACUUGUAUACGUAUAAAAUAUAAUAAUUUCAUAAUAUAUUUCUAAAAUUUAAUAAAAAUUUGAUGUUUAAACUCAUCAAAAAUUAAAAAAAAAAUUAUUAUAAAACUGUAAUUUAUUGGAGUCUCUAAAUGUGUGCAAAUAGUGAAAGUAUACAUCAAAAUAGAGGGACGAAUAUAAUAGUUUGCACUCACAUUCCGUAAAUAAAUCGAGCAUGUACAAAUUACUCGUUUUCAUCCUAUUUAAAUGAAAUAGGAUGAAAACGAGUAAUUUGAUGUUCACUCUAAAUGAAAUGAGGAUGAUAAUUAAAUAAAAAUUACAAAAAUACUGAGAAAAAGAAAAAUAUUUAAAAUAAAAGUAAUUUAGUUUGAAUGAAUUAACUUUUAUGUGAUCAUGUUGGAAUAAUAGUACAAGAAGUAAAAUUUUAAUUAUAAGUACAUGAUUAGAUCUCUAACUAAAGAUAAUCUGAACUAAAAUGAUAAAAGAAAUGGAAAUUAUAAAUAUGGCCCAGCAAGCAAAGUAUAAAUUGUAUUUCAUUAAGUGACCAUUCCUAAUAUAAAAAUAUAUAUAUAUUGUACAUGAAAAACAUCUGUUUCUUAGUUCUUGAAGACGCUUUAUACUCUUUAUAUAUAACUCAAACAAUACGUGUUUGUUUGUAAAUGAACUUUCUUUGCUGUUCGUGGAAGCUUUUACAACUGCAGGCUUAUUUUGCAUCCGCCUACUCAAGUUUUCAUAACUCUAGAACUGGAAUAUCAAAGUUCGACUCUAAUUAACUCUUGAACAGACCUUUCGAAUUUCCCCGGCCGUCCCAGUGUUCACCCCAAUAUUCGUCAUUUUAAUCAUAGAUUUUCCGAAUUCGACGUUCAAAGUCAAUCCAGCCAAGCCUCUGAUACCCAUAAAUCUCUGCGCAAAGUUCCUCGUUGUACUGUCCUGCCACAAGCUCUGAUCUGACUCCAGAAUUCCCCGUCCAUCUCGAACAUUUUUGAAGAAAGAACGAUCAAAAUUGUUACCGCUCCCGUAGUCCAAAGCGAUACGUUUAUUUCCAUCGCCAUUUUUAGGGCAAAGCGAUUGGAGUGUAGGAAGGAACGAGGGAUCGAUGGUAGGAUCAGCACCCCCGGAGUUUGUGAAGUUGUAUAAUCUGUAGCUCACGAAUUGGCAAGCCACUGUUCCAAUAGUGUGUCCUCCUGCAACACAUUUUUGUACUAUAUGGUUUAGAAUGUUGCAUGCAUGCAGAUAGAAAAAUUUCGGAUGUCUGAUAAACGUAUGUAAUAUUGGCUUAUUGCUUACCAACAAGGGUAACAAGAUCUUGAGCGCUUAGACCAACAUCUGCAAAUUUUUUCUUCUGGACCGCGACUGAGUCUGUGAAACUCGGCAAAUUGGCGGUGUCGGACGCCAAUGACACUCGUCCGUCUCUCCGGCCAGUAGGCACGCGAUAAGUCAGUGCACCGACCUGCAUGUGAAAACAUAAGAACAAUGAGAUGCUGAUAUAACAAUGAUCCUACUUCGAAAUAGCAUAAAUUAUUUGAAUUUUUUGGUUAAAAUCAUAUAUAGCACAUUCGAAACAUUUAUCUUACUUCUACUGUGGCAUCACGAGCAGCAAGAGCAAGAAUAUCAGCACACGACACGACUCCGGGGCAUGCUGCCUCUAGCUGUGUUUUGGCAUCCUCAAUCACUUCAUAUCCUCUCAGCAGAAGAUUUGGCCUAGCGGUUUUCUCAGCAUUGCUGCCAUCGAUAAGAAUCGAAGCAUCGCAACCAUGAACGAAGCAAUCAUGGAAGACCAUUCUGAGCAGUCCGGGGGCAACAGUGGAAUCGGAGUUAACAUGUUUCUUAACGGUGGCUUGAACGAUGGAUUCCGCUCUGGGACAAGAGGUGGAAUAGAAGCCGACCCUAGUCUGAGCUAGAGCUAAGGGUGUGGCGACUAGAAGAACAAAUAGAAUAGAGAGUUUGCUAAGGAAAGAAUCCAUUUGAGUUUGUUAUGUGUUGUUAUAAAUUGAUUGUGUGUUUAGAGGAAACGAAGGUGGUGUAUUUAUAGGGACAUAAAAGUGCUAAAAUGGGCUAAACGUGUGGAGACCAGAGAGAACCAGGGUCAAUGAAAAAUACGUGGCAACGGAUUGGAAAAGUUGUCCACUGGUGAGUUGUAGUCCACUCUCGGGCUGCCCAAGUUGUUUGAUUCGUUGAUUGAUAGAAGAGUCAAAUGAAUGUUCAUACAUGCGGUUGCAUAGUUUAAGUUCAAUUUAUGUCAGAUUUUCUCAGACACGUACUCAGUGGAUUAAUAUUUUGGCAUUUACCUCAUAUAUACAUAAAAGUUUGCUCAGAAACUAAUUCCUUCUUGUAAAUUAUAGAGUAAUAAUUAUUGAUUAGAUAUUCAAAAUUCCAACAAUUAUGGACUUACUCGAAAUUCAUUUUACGGUCUUAAAUCAUCGUACAUGCAGUAUUCUAAAAAUCCCCGAUUUAACCGAUAAAUCCCCUGCAAGGUCGGCCACCGAUUCGAUUUUUUAAAUCCGAUUAAUCCUUAUAUAUAUUCCUUAAUCGAAGUAUAUAUGAUAAAUUAUUAAAAUUAAAAUACUAUAUUACUUUAAGUAUGGUUUAUUAUAGAGUUUAUGAAUAUGGUAAAGAUAUUAGUUACUAAAUAGCUAAUAUAAUAAUAACUAAAUAUUAAAUAAUAUUUUAAUAUAAAAACAAAACCGAUUUUCACUCCGAUUAAUCCUUGCGAUUAAUCUCCGAUUUCCGAUUAAUCCCUGAAUCGGUAGCUCAACCGAUUAAGUCCGAUUCUCGAUUUCUGUAACACUGCAUACAUGUAUAAAUAAUAUCUCUAUCAUUUUUUUUUUAAUUUAUACUCAUUUUAUUCUAUUACAUCCACUCCAACUAAACACAACAUAAUUGUGUGUUUGUGUGUAAGCCUAAUAUUACAACUCUUGAAACAUAAUUUGAAAUUAGUUUUACAAAACUAUAUUUGAAAUGUUGUAAAUCAUUGUGCUUGCGGAAAAUGGUGAAGUGGGAACCGGAAAAGAAGCUUAAAUAAGUGUGAAACGCAUACGCAGGCGAAUACCUUGAUGUUACGUUCUAUCAAGGAAACUAAAGUAAUGGCGAAGCUGUUGCAAACUUAAUUUUGUGUGGAGUAUUAGUACUCCAAAUGGAUAGCGUAAACAUGUUUUCUAUUACAAAGUUGUUAGGGUGUCAAAUACUCCGCUAACACUGACAUGCAUGCAUUCCAUGAUUAAAAAACUAAAAAUUACUAAAAGAGAAGGUGGAAACUAUUGACUCGGGGUUCAGCAAAAGUUUUCAAAAGAGUCAAAGCAAUGCGUGUGGGGUCGCGAAUAACUUACUCUGCAUUAUCAUGAAACUUCCUGCACUAGUAUUUAACUAUUCUUUGUCAAGCCUUCUACUUUACUCCCUCAAUUUGUUUUAUUUAACAUUUUAAUUUUUCACACGUAUUUUCUGGUGAAGUGAUCUGAUAAUAUAAUUAUUUUUAUUAUAUUUUUGCCAAUUAUGAUAUUGAUUAUAUAUUUUUAUUCUGAAAAUUAAAAUUUUGAAUUAUUUUUAGUUAUCUAGUCAGAAUAUUUAAAAAUAUGUAUUAGAAACCAAACGUCGAAUAAAAUAAUAAGAUCGAGCUAUAUGUCUAUCAGGGAGGCAAAAACCGCAUGCUGUAUAUGACUGUUCUCAAAAUCUACGUGCCGUGAUAAUCAAAUAGCGGUUUCGUAAAAGAGUGUGAGAAUAAAUUAAAGAGUUUAAGAAGUAAUUAUUCCAGUUAGUUUUCGAUACCUCUUGUGCAAAAAUACAAAUUUUUGCAUAAAACACAGAACUCCUCAUAUUUAAUUUAGAUGGAAUUAAAACACAAAAUAUAUUGUCUUUAAAUGAUUCUACUGAAUAUAUUUUUAAUCAUCGACAGAUUUUGGGAGGACAAAUUUCAAUCUGAACCCUGCAUCAUUCUUUUGAUCACAAAAGAUAUUAAUCAAAAACUUGUCUUCGUCUUCUCUGUUCAUAAGUCAGCUUUUACGCAACAGCUAUUUCAUUAAAGUUUUCUAAAGAUUAUUCAUGUUCGAUAGAAAAUUAUUGUCAGACAUUUUAAUUCACAAAUUAUAUUUCAAAAAUAUUACUAUUUCAUUUGAAAAUUUUAAAAUGUUAUAUAUAUAUUUCACCUUAAAUAUUUUAUUUGCUGAGUUUUGCAGGACAUCUUAUUCACGAUUACAUAUUUUUCUACUCCAUCACAUGGUUUUUUUGCUUACUUUUUAGUUAAACCAGUCAUUGUGUCCGACAGCAAAACCAACACGGACUAUAGGUAUCGAGGACGAUUUCUCUCUGAUGCUAUAGGUAUAUUAUUUGUGUGUAUGGUAGAAUGUAUAUCUAUUAUUUUUUUUUGUCACUUUAUAUGGCAAUUUUUCUUAGCUGUGAUAAUAGAUGAAAACAUGAGCUGAGUUGCUUUUGAGUUUUGACAUAUAAUGUUCAUGGAGAGUUUCAUGUUAAAUGCCUAAAAAAUGUUUACGGAGUAAGGCUGACAGACUAUAUGCACGUAGUAUGAAAAAGUAAGGGGCGACGGGCGUCAUCAGCUCACCUUCACUACAAUAAAAUCGGGUACUUACGACAGAAAUUCGUAUCUAAAAAACAGCGCCGUCCUUGGAUCCGGCACUUCUCCCUUAUUUUUCAUUUGAAAAAAUAUUUAUAAAAAACUUAUGACAUCGUACUCUAGUAUUAUAAUUAUUUGAUUUUUUCAAUUGAAAAAAUAUUAAAAUAUAUAAAAAGCUUACAACGGAUUCGUUUUUCGUCGUAACAAUUUAAGACGGAACUCUACUAAUCCAUAGUAACUUUAUACGCGUGGUCCCUCAUAAGUUAUCUGUUACUAUAACUUAUAAAUGACUUUAUUUGUUGUAGCGCUUGUCGUAUACCCCGGCCUGGUAUAAUUGGCCCCAUCUCCUUCAUUCUAUGCACCACCGUAUAUUUGACUGAACAGACACAUUGCAUCACCAGAUGCCCCACCAUUCAUGAAAUCCCAGUUUUAGUAGAAUAGCACUCAAAUAAGUGAAUAACUCCACUCAAUCUUGUCAUAGCCUUAGCCAUGUCCAACUUAAACGCCAUAAACCCCUCCUUUCCUGUUCUCUUUAGUUUGUGAUAGUGCAUGACUUCAUAACUUAUAAUUAGAAUAUCUAUCUAGGGUUAAAUUUGUAGUGAUAAAUUAAAAUUAAUUUUUUAAUUAAACCGAUCGAUCACAAAAUUAUAAUGUCUUUUCAUUAUAUUUUAUUUUAUAUCAAUUUUUCAGUAUUUGAAUAUCAAAUUCUUAAAAUCAAAAUUAUUUUAAUUUGUAUAUAUCGAUAUAUACAGAAAUCAAUGAUUACUGGGUUAGUCAUUGAUAUUAUAAGAUUAAAAAAAAAUAUCGUAUACUAUUGGGUUUAUUUCCAUCGCCAUUUUUAGGGCAAAGCGAUUGGAGUGUAGGAAGGAACGAGGGAUCGAUGGUAGGAUCAGCACCCCCGGAGUUUGUGAAGUUGUAUAAUCUGUAGCUCACGAAUUGGCAAGCCACUGUUCCAAUAGUGUGUCCUCCUGCAACACAUUUUUGUACUAUAUGGUUUAGAAUGUUGCAUGCAUGCAGAUAGAAAAAUUUCGGAUGUCUAUAAACGUAUGUAAUAUUGGCUUAUUGCUUACCAACAAGAGUUACAAGAUCUUGAGCGCUAAGACCAACAUCUGCAAAUUUUUUCUUCUGGACCGCGACUGAGUCUGUGAAACUCGGCAAAUUGGCGGUGUCGGACGCCAAUGACACUCGUCCAUCUCUCCGGCCAGUAGGCACGCGAUAAGUCAGUGCACCGACCUGCAUGUGAAACAUGGGAACAAUGAGAACUGAUAUAACAAUGAUCCUAUUAUGCUGCAGAAAUAUUUGAAUUAUUUUCUUAAAACCGCGAAUAUAGCACAUUCGAAACAUUUAUCGUACUUCGACUGUGGCAUCACGAGCAGCCAGAGCAAGAAUAUCAGCACAAGACACGACUCCGGGGCAUGCUGCCUCUAGCUGUGUUUUGGCAUCCUGAAUGACUUCAUAUCCUCUUAACAAAAGAUUUGGCCUAGCUGUUUUCUCAGCAUUGCUGCCAUCGAUAAGAAUCGAUGCAUCGCAGCCAUGAACGAAGCAAUCGUGGAAGACCAUUCUGAGCAAUCCUGGGGCAACAGUGGAAUCGGAGUUAACAUGUUUUUUAACGGUGGCUUGAACGAUGGAUUCCGCUCUGGGACAAGAGGUGGAAUAGAAGCCGACCCUAGUCUGAGCUAGAGCUAAGGGUGUGGCGAGUAGAAGAACAAAUAGAAUAGAGAGUUUGCUAAGGAAAGAAUCCAUUUGAGUUUGU
rnacentral:lncRNA from 1 species